rnacentral:rRNA from 1 species
CCUACGGGAGGCAGCAGUGGGGGAAUCUUGCGCAAUGGGCGAAAGCCUGACGCAGCCAUGCCGCGUGAAUGAUGAAGGUCUUAGGAUUGUAAAAAUUCUUUUCACCGGGGACGAUAAUGACGGUACCCGGAGAAGAAGCCCCGGCUAACUUCGUGCCAGCAGCCGCGGUAAUACGAAGGGGGCUAGCGUUGCUCGGAAUUACUGGGCGUAAAGGGAGCGUAGGCGGAUAGUUUAGUCAGAGGUGAAAGCCCAGGGCUCAACCUUGGAAUUGCCUUUGAUACUGGCUAUCUUGAGUGUGGGAGAGGUUAGCGGAACUCCGAGUGUAGAGGUGAAAUUCGUAGAUAUUCGGAAGAACACCAGUGGCGAAAGGCGGCUAACUGGCCCAUUACUGACGCUGAGGCUCGAAAGCGUGGGGAGCAAACAGGAUUAGAUACCCUGGUAGUCCACGCCGUAAACGAUGAGUGCUAAGUUGUCGGCAUGCAUGCAUGUCGGUUGACGCAGCUAACGCAUUAAAGCACUCCGCCUGGGGAGUACGGUCGCAAGAUUAAAAACUCAAAAGGAAAUUGAACGG